AUUGAACGCUGGCGGCAGGCCUAACACAUGCAAGUCGAACGAGUGGCGGACGGGUGAGUAAUGUCUGGGCAACUGCCUGAUGGAGGGGGCUAACUACUGGAAACGGUAGCUAAUACCGCAUACCAUCAGAUGUGCCCAGAUGGGAUUAGCUAGUGGGUGGGGUAACGGCUCAUCAAGGGGACGAUCCCUAGCUGGUCUGAGAGGCUGACCGGCCACACUGGAACUGAGACACGGUCCAGACUCCUACGGGAGGAAGCAGUGGGGAAUAUUGGACAAUGGGCGCAAGCCUGAUGCAGCCAGGCCGCGUGUAUGAAGAAGGCCUUCGGGUUGUAAAGUACUUUCAGCGGGGAGGCGUUACCCGCAGAAGAAGCACCGGCUAACUCCGUGCCAGCAGCCGCGGUAAUUC
rnacentral:rRNA from 1 species